AUUGAACGCUGGCGGCAGGCUUAACACAUGCAAGUCGAGCGGGCGAGGUUGCUUCGGUAACUGAGCUAGCGGCGGACGGGUGAGUAAUGCUUAGGAAUCUGCCUAUUAGUGGGGGACAACAUUCCGAAAGGAAUGCUAAUACCGCAUACGCCCUAUGGGGGAAAGCAGGGGAUCUUCGGACCUUGCGCUAAUGGAUGAGCCUAAGUCAGAUUAGCUAGUUGGUGGGGUAAAGGCCUACCAAGGCGACGAUCUGUAGCGGGUCUGAGAGGAUGAUCCGCCACACUGGGACUGAGACACGGCCCAGACUCCUACGGGAGGCAGCAGUGGGGAAUAUUGGACAAUGGGCGGAAGCCUGAUCCAGCCAUGCCGCGUGUGUGAAGAAGGCCUUUUGGUUGUAAAGCACUUUAAGCGAGGAGGAGGCUACUUGGAUUAAUACUCUAGGAUAGUGGACGUUACACGCAGAAUAAGCACCGACUAACUCUGUGCCAGCCGCCGCCGUAA
rnacentral:rRNA from 1 species